GGAGGGGUGGCAGAGUGGUUUAAUGCACCGGUCUUGAAAACCGGCGUGGGUUUAUAGCUCACCCAGGGUUCAAAUCCCUGCUCCUCCGCCA
rnacentral:tRNA from 3 species